rnacentral:rRNA from 1 species
AUUGAACGCUGGCGGCAGGCCUAACACAUGCAAGUCGAGCGGAUGACGGGAGCUUGCUCCUUGAUUCAGCGGCGGACGGGUGAGUAAUGCCUAGGAAUCUGCCUGGUAGUGGGGGACAACGUUUCGAAAGGAACGCUAAUACCGCAUACGUCCUACGGGAGAAAGCAGGGGACCUUCGGGCCUUGCGCUAUCAGAUGAGCCUAGGUCGGAUUAGCUAGUAGGUGAGGUAAUGGCUCACCAAGGCGACGAUCCGUAACUGGUCUGAGAGGAUGAUCAGUCACACUGGAACUGAGACACGGUCCAGACUCCUACGGGAGGCAGCAGUGGGGAAUAUUGGACAACGGGCGAAAGCCUGAUCCAGCCAUGCCGCGUGUGUGAAGAAGGUCUUCGGAUUGUAAAGCACUUUAAGUCGGGAGGAAGGGCAGUAAGUUAAUACCUUGCUGUUUUGACGUUACCAACAGAAUAAGCACCGGCUAACUUCGUGCCAGCCGCCGCAGUAAGAC